UUUUAAAGGUACAAUACAGUGAAAUGAGAUUACAUGGUGAAAUCACUGUUUUCUACUUUUUGAAGGAAAUCUUAGUUUUUCCUAAGCAACUGCACAUCUAUACCUAUACAGUCACCACUGCCUAUUUUUCCUCCUGGAAAGAAAAAAAAAAGAUAAGCAAAAAAAUUAAGAGAAAACUCAUUGGUAGCAAACAUUUCUGCAAUGUUAUGUCUACGCUGUAUAAAACAGAAAUAAAUACGUAUCCUCAGUGAAUAGGCAGUUAAUCACCAGAAAUCUAGUAGAGGUUUGGGCGUUGCAUUUCUGUUUUUGAACAUUUUGGAAGUUUGAGAUGACAGUGACAGAUGGAAGCACAGUUCUUGGCAAGUGGUUGGAGCUCUAGGUGGGGUAGGUGACAGGGGCAAGUGAACAUGCUAGAGAGGGAGUGGAGGUGAAUCUCUUCCAGAUUUGUCUUUGCUGUGCUGUUUUUCUAUUUUGCCAGGCAUACAGAAAGCCAGAGCUGCCACUCCACCCCAUGACUUCUCUUGCAAGAUGAAUAUGUGCUCAGUGAGAUCUCUGCUGGUGCAAACCGCUGUACUCCAGGAACAUACACGAGAAGACACACUCCUCUAAUCUCCCUUGAGUCUGCUGAAUUCACACAACUUUUCUGGAAACAAACAUUUUUGAAUUAAAGCUCUGCUUAAGAAAUUACGCUGAUUGAGAUGUUCACAAUGCCCUCCUUGUCAAUAUCCUCCUUUAAGUCUUUACUUGGAACACAGGUGGAAAUAAAAGCAGAUGAAUACAAGUGACAGAAAAAUACUCGGUAGGACUGAAACACAGAGUGAGCAGCUGAAACCAGUGCUCCCACGUACACUGGAAAAGGUGUGUUUCACACACUAUUAGCUGAAACCACCUGUAGCCAUCUUGAGUAUGCAAUCACACCAAGUCUUAGUGUAACAGAGCUCUCAGAAAAGCUGCUGCAGAGAGACUGAAGAAUCAUUGGAAGAGUAAGAAUCUUUCAGAACACGGGCAUCUGGCAAGAAAAGUAUUUACAACAGCAUUAUUUCAACAGAAGAGAAGGAUUGCUCAAGGAAGCAGGAGAGAAGAGUACCCAUUCCCAGAGGUGUUCCAGAACCAUGGAGAUGUGGCUCUGAGGAACACGGUCAGUGGGCAUGGUGGGAGUGGGUUGGGGUUGGACCUGAUGAUUCUAGAGGUCCUUUCCAACCUUAAUGAUUUAUGACUAGAUGUAAGUUGUAUUUAAGCGACACAUGGAUGGAAGAGCAUAUAUUAGUGCAAAACCAAAGAAAGACAUUUCCUCCAGAUAUAAAUCCAGUACUAUGAAGGCUGAAAUGGGGAUGGGGAUACCCUUUCUGCCAUUACAAGUUAUGAAGCAUCUCACGUCAACUUCCUUCUUACAUAAUACAGAGUGAUAAAUCUGCUUGACAUAAAUCACUUAUGAAGGAACACAAGCUUACUAAAUAUAUCUCUAAAUCAAGGGCAGAUUUCUUUCUCAGUAUAAGAUCAAAAGCUCAAGUUAUAUUUAAGCUCUAAUGAGAAGCAGCCUUAUUUAUUGGUGGUGGUUGGGUCAUGGGGCCAGGAAAGCUCCUGUGUUCUAAUCCUGCAGCAUAUCCAUACUUUACAGUUUUGGAGAAGUCUGUUACUCCAUUUCUCCAUCACAUAAGCAGAGAUUUUAUUAUUUAGUUACCUCAUAAUGGCCUUAAGAGAAUGUUUACAAUCAUUCUGUAUUGUUUUUAAUAAACUUCGGUCCUGAUCCUGCAGGAUCUGUAUUCUAAAUCUGAACUAUUUAGAUCUAAUCUAAAAGAAAUCAUAGAAAAAGGUGAAAAUAAAGAAAAAAGUGAUUAUUACAUUACAAUAAUACAAUUUCAAUUCUGAAACAUCAUUAUAAGAAAAUUAAUGAUGACGGGACGAAAGGAUCCUUACUUCUGAUUGGCAUAUUUCUUAGGUUGCUCCAAAAGUAAUAUUUAUUUCCAUGGAAACUGCAACAGAUGCAAUGAGCACAGUAAUAUGGUGUGAUAGAACGAAUUCUCAGCUAUCAUAUACUAUCUUGAAAAAGUAACCACCAUUGGCAACGCAUUUUUGCCAGGGAUGAACAAGAGCCUGCGUGCCACGCUAGUCAAAAUCUGCACCAGUGGAGGUGACCCACUGUCACUGUCACCACUGCUGAAAUGUACCACCCACAGCCUCACUAUGUUCACAUUCACUGGUUGGUCUCCAGAAAUGGAUGUUAAUGGGUACUGUUUUUUCUGCAUGGAGAAAUUCAGUGACACACCUUUGAUUCAUACACGCUUUCAUGUCAAGUGCUAUUUUAUCAGGCUGCCCCUCUGCUGUCAUCUCUCACACAGCAACUACAUGUAAUGGGAUAUUGGUGAGAAGGUCAAACCUCUACUGCCAUACCACCAACAUCUGUCUCUGGCUCCACAGAGCCAUGAGCGUCUCAGCAGCACACAAUGAAUAGGUAUCACUGCUGCAAGGAGGAGGAAGAGGAUACAUCUGGAAACAACUCUCUGCUCUGCAGGCUCUACUGACACCUGGCGUGCAGCUCAUCUGCAGCCUUAUGUCCAGGAUCCCUGUGCUGCACAUGCCCACAGAGUGCCUCUGCACCCCAGAGCAACAGACCUCAUGGUGAAAACACAAACACUGGUCAGCCACAAUUUUCUCUCAUCUCCCUUCUGGUUCAAGCAAGAAGGGAGGCUCUUCAAACUGUGCUAUGAGCAAGGAGAUGUCAGUCUUGGUGUGACUUCCUCAAAGGAUUGGUGUUGUGACGCACAAGAGGAAACAUGCAGCAGCCAAGGCAUCAAGAGGACUGGGAGGCAUGUAUGGUGCAAGCCAACCGUGCAAGUGUUGUGCUCAAGCACAAUGCUUCUAAUAGCAUGUGAGCAGGUGCUAAAUCUGUGUGUUUAUUAAAAACAAACUUGCUUAUGGUAGUGCCUCUCACAUUUUAUUAGUGGGAGUCUAUCCAAGUGCCCCCAAUACUGACAUUCCACUAUUGUCUUAAAAGAUAGAAACCACAUCCUAUGGCAAAGCAUUUGUGAGCCUUUGAGGGCUUUGUAAGUUGAACAAUCUUAGGAAUCUACCCACAGUUAAAUUUUCUGGAUUCUGCACAAGGGACAGAAAUAAGAAAAUAAAAUAAAAAAGCUUCUCUUCCAAGUCUCAGCUUGAAUUUGUAGUAUUUACAUUUUGAACAGUUUGAAAAAUGCAGCACCUUUUCCCCACUGUUCAUUAAUUGUGAUCCUCAACGGCACUUCACAGUCACUUCUGAAAUAGAAAAGAAAGUAAAGCUCAGACUGAAGAGUCCUUGAAUUGCUACAACCUACAUAAACUCAGCUCUUCAGCUCCUAUCUGCAAAGCCUCAGUGACAUAAAAUAGAAGACACCUGACUGAAUAAGGGAUUCUGAUUUUCAGCAUGGUAAGGUCUUCUGAAAUAAAUUAUAUCCAAUUCUUAAGAACAGUGGCAGAGAUAAUGUCUGCAUAUCUAGAUUCAGAAGUCUCAAGAUGAGCUACAAUAUCUGACUUUGUUAAGUAAAUCAGCAAAGAUGACAGUACUCAGAAAAAGUUUGUUAAAGAAAGCAUGUCACUCACAUCUUUGUUUUUGACUCUCUUUACCUGUUUAAGAUUGGAGC
ensembl:lncRNA